UGCCAGGCUUUUUGAUCUCGCUCAAAUUGAUUAGGGUGUAGAUACGAUGGGGGGGGGAUGCCCGAUGGAGGUCACACGAUGCUAAUGUCUGAGACAUCUUCUCCCAGAAAACACGGCGGUUAAUGAGUUUCCCCGUUUGUGUGUCGACGUUCGGUGGUGAUAGAAAUCGUUCUUAAAUGAUGCACUGCCAGACGGGGUAUGGAUUUUCCUGCUGAAAUAUUCAUAUGGAGGGUUAUUUGUGUGCCAAUAAGAAAGCAUAAUCAAUAUGUGACACCUGUCAGAUUGUACGACACAAUAGUUACGCCCAAAUAUUUCUCAAAUCGAAUUACGACUUUCCGUCACCUUCCAGAGAAAAGAAGCGUUUUAUCAAUGCUCGGCACAUUUUUUCUGGUUUAUCGCAGAGAUAGACAUCACCUAAGGUUUAACUCGACAAGACGCCAAACCUCAAGGACAAACCACACGCUUGGAGAAUCGCUUUUAACAAACGCUACAGAGAGAACAAUUCAUUAUCCAAAAGCGGCAAAGCCCCAAAAAUAGAACAAAGAAACAAGAUGUUUUCCCCAUUCGUCCAAUCAGAACGCUUGGUGUCUGCCUUCAUUUGUCAGUCACAACAGAUCUGGAGGAGAAACGAGAGGGAAGAACCUCUUUCUGAAGAGGUGAAAUGAGGAUGGAGGAAGGGUGACGUCUUCUAACCUCACGGCUGCUUCGGUCUACGGGAAACGGCGACCGCGGGCUUCGCUAAUGGUGGCACAUGAGUUUCAACCCUCCUGUGAAGAGAUUUCAUUUCAUUGAUUCAGAUUUCAUAGAAAGAAGAGUGAAAUGUCGGGGCAGGUGGCAUAUUCAUCGUGGGGUGCUGCGCUCCACGCAGCGAGGGAAACCUGAGGAACAAAAGAACCGGCAGGUUCUCUGACUGCUGACGAUAUUUAUAAAUAUGACAGCGUGCUGUUUUGAUGACAGACAGGUUAUUUCAUGAAAGUGGGAUGUCUUCUGUUUAAAACUGAAUGAAUAGACAACGGUCGUGUCAGGAGAUGAGGAAAACUUACUGCUGUGUUCACAGUCCUCACACUAUCUUUGCACCAAAGGGACCCAUCAUCCAUCAUGGCGACCCGCGGCUGCACAGAUGCUGGGUAAACCCCGCUCAUCUAAAUGCCGAACACACCGACCCGAGCACGGAUGCUCUUUCCACCGUACCAGCCACAACAGAUGUGGCCUCGGACCUCGCUAUUUAAAUCCGGCCACCUGAUGCCCAGGGCUGUGGCGAGAACUCCGGCGGCACAGCAUGGAUAAUGAAGGGAAUCGAGGGAGAAACCCGGAAAUGUAAUUUAAAAUCAAUUUUACAGGACAGAACGGAGAUGGGCCUGGAAGAGAAGACUAUGCAGGAUGAUGAAACUCUCCUCUGAAUUGCUCCUCUUACAAUCCCUCAAGGAUUUUGUCACACUGUGCGCACACAGCUCCAAUCUUAUGUUCCCUGAGAACACACAUUUUAGUUCUGUUCCAAUAACCCACAUCACGGCACAUAAGAUUGUUUUGGUGAACAUCUAAGGCAUCGUUGCAUGUUUCCUUUCUGCAUGAGGCAAUCUCAAGUUUUCUAUUUGCUUUCAGAAAUUCGACUGACAACAAAUACAUCUGCAGAGUUUGGAAGUAGCAUUCAAACAGACUGCAAGCUCUCUAGGUUUUAAAACACAGCUAAUGUCUCAUGCACAAUGCUAACUUUCACCUGCAUACACACAUCCAUGUGUGUACUACAAUGAAAACAGACCUUGUGAAAAGUAACACGAGUGCCAUUCAAAGCCAUAAAAUAAAACAGAAAAAGUU